rnacentral:rRNA from 1 species
GUACACUCCUGCGGGAGGCAGCAGUGGGGAAUUUUGGACAAUGGGCGAAAGCCUGAUCCAGCAAUGCCGCGUGAGUGAAGAAGGCCUUCGGGUUGUAAAGCUCUUUUGUCAGGGAAGAAACGGUGAAAGCUAAUAUCUUUUGCUAAUGACGGUACCUGAAGAAUAAGCACCGGCUAACUACGUGCCAGCAGCCGCGGUAAUACGUAGGGUGCAAGCGUUAAUCGGAAUUACUGGGCGUAAAGCGUGCGCAGGCGGUUUUGUAAGUCUGAUGUGAAAUCCCCGGGCUCAACCUGGGAAUUGCAUUGGAGACUGCAAGGCUAGAAUCUGGCAGAGGGGGGUAGAAUUCCACGUGUAGCAGUGAAAUGCGUAGAUAUGUGGAGGAACACCGAUGGCGAAGGCAGCCCCCUGGGUCAAGAUUGACGCUCAUGCACGAAAGCGUGGGGAGCAAACAGGAUUAGAAACCCCUGUAGUCCC